rnacentral:rRNA from 1 species
AUUGAACGCUGGCGGCAGGCCUAACACAUGCAAGUCGAGCGGAUGAGGAGAGCUUGCUCUCUGAUUUAGCGGCGGACGGGUGAGUAAUGCCUAGGAAUCUGCCUGGUAGUGGGGGAUAACGUCCGGAAACGGGCGCUAAUACCGCAUACGUCCUACGGGAGAAAGCAGGGGACCUUCGGGCCUUGCGCUAUCAGAUGCGCCUAGGUCGGAUUAGCUAGUUGGUGAGGUAAUGGCUCACCAAGGCUACGAUCCGUAACUGGUCUGAGAGGAUGAUCAGUCACACUGGAACUGAGACACGGUCCAGACUCCUACGGGAGGCAGCAGUGGGGAAUAUUGGACAAUGGGCGAAAGCCUGAUCCAGCCAUGCCGCGUGUGUGAAGAAGGUCUUCGGAUUGUAAAGCACUUUAAGUUGGGAGGAAGGGCAGUAAGUUAAUACCUUGCUGUUUUGACGUUACCGACAGAAUAAGCACCGGCUAACUUCGUGCCAGCCGCCGCGGUAA